rnacentral:rRNA from 1 species
GUGUUGUAAGUGUUUAAGGGCGCAUGGUGGAUGCCUUGGCACUGGGAGCCGAUGAAGGACGUUGGAGGCUGCGAUAUGCCUCGGGGAGCUGCCAACCGAGCGUUGAUCCGAGGAUGUCCGAAUGGGGAAACCCGGCACGAGUGAUGUCGUGUCACCUGGCACUGAAUACAUAGGUGUCAGGGGGGAACGCGGGGAAGUGAAACAUCUCAGUACCCGUAGGAAGAGAAAACAAAAUUGUGAUUCCGUGAGUAGUGGCGAGCGAAAGCGGAGGAUGGCUAAACCGUAUGCAUGUGAUACCGGGUAGGGGUUGUGUGUGCGGGGUUGUGGGACCUGUUUUUCCAGUUCUACUCGGCUGGAGGGUAGUGAGAAAAUGUUGUGGUUAGCGGAAGUGGUUUGGGAUGACCUGCCGUAGACGGUGAGAGCCCGGUACGUGAAAACCUGACAUCUACCUUGAACGGUGUUCCCGAGUAGCAGCGGGCCCGUGAAAUCUGCUGUGAAUCUGCCGGGACCACCCGGUAAGCCUGAAUACUUCCCAGUGACCGAUAGCGGAUUAGUACCGUGAGGGAAUGGUGAAAAGUACCCCGGGAGGGGAGUGAAAUAGUACCUGAAACCGUGCGCUUACAAUCCGUCAGAGCCUUCCACUUUGUGGUGGGGUGAUGGCGUGCCUUUUGAAGAAUGAGCCUGCGAGUCAGGGACAUGUCGCGAGGUUAACCCGGGUGGGGUAGCCGCAGCGAAAGCGAGUCUGAAUAGGGCGUAUCCACACAGUAGUGUGUGGUGUAGUGGUGUGUUCUGGACCCGAAGCGGAGUGAUCUACCCAUGGCCAGGGUGAAGCGCGGGUAAGACCGCGUGGAGGCCCGAACCCACUUAGGUUGAAGACUGAGGGGAUGAGCUGUGGGUAGGGGUGAAAGGCCAAUCAAACUCCGUGAUAGCUGGUUCUCCCCGAAAUGCAUUU